ACAGGAAAUCUCAUUUGUAGCCUACAGCAUUGACUGUCACUGUACUCAUCCUCCAUGUUUUAGGAAUAAAGUUAGUUUGAAAAAAACUAGUAUAACUCCAGUUUAGAAUUAUUCCCACCAAUCAGAAGCGGCUGCUGGGCGGAGUAGAGUGGGCCGACCAAUCAGCGUUCGCCUGUCGACGUUUGCUGGCGUGUGUCGUCAUUGACCACGAAGAGAGGAGAGGAGAGCAGAGCGGCGGAGAAAUCAUGUCGAAAAACGAGUGGAAGUUUUGAAGUAAAAGCAACGUUCUAGUCUUCGUUUCUUGCUUUGGUUUGUUAGCACUUUGAGUAACUUAAUUACUGAACACGUGGAUGGAUGGUAAAACAAGCUUUGGAGCAGUUUUCGUCGAACACGAGUGAGGCUGGACACCGAGCACACCUACACUAAGGUCUACUUGUUCAGUUGCUUCAGCCUGUGUGAUGGAGAUAAUAUUCUGCUUCAUCAACGUUGGAGAUGAUGUUACACUGGACAGGGACCAUGUUUACUACUUCCAAGUCCAGGCGUCACCACUUCAUCAUGAGUGCAGAGACCAGCAGAAGAUCCAUAACACAGAGGCCUCCAGGUGAACUCACAAGAACAACAGGAUCCAUUAAAGGUGAAGGAGGAGACAACGCCAGCAGGUGAAGUUCUGGACCUGAAGUGGAUGAAAGAAAACAAGAGUUAUGAAGCUGAUAAUUAGACUGAUACACUUUGUGUGUGUACAUAC